rnacentral:rRNA from 1 species
AUGAACGCUAGCGACAGGCUUAACACAUGCAAGUCGAGGGGCAGCACAGGUAGCAAUACCGGGUGGCGACCGGCGCACGGGUGAGUAACGCGUAUGCAACUUGCCUAUCAGAGGGGGAUAACCCGGCGAAAGUCGGACUAAUACCGCAUGAAGCAGGGGCCCCGCAUGGGGAUAUUUGCUAAAGAUUCAUCGCUGAUAGAUAGGCAUGCGUUCCAUUAGGCAGUUGGCGGGGUAACGGCCCACCAAACCGACGAUGGAUAGGGGUUCUGAGAGGAAGGUCCCCCACAUUGGUACUGAGACACGGACCAAACUCCUACGGGAGGCAGCAGUGAGGAAUAUUGGUCAAUGGGCGUAAGCCUGAACCAGCCAAGUCGCGUGAGGGAUGAAGGUUCUAUGGAUCGUAAACCUCUUUUAUAAGGGAAUAAAGUGCGGGACGUGUCCCGUUUUGUAUGUACCUUAUGAAUAAGGAUCGGCUAACUCCGUGCCAGCAGCCGCGGUAAUACGGAGGAUCCGAGCGUUAUCCGGAUUUAUUGGGUUUAAAGGGUGCGUAGGCGGCCUUUUAAGUCAGCGGUGAAAGUCUGUGGCUCAACCAUAGAAUUGCCGUUGAAACUGGGGGGCUUGAGUAUGUUUGAGGCAGGCGGAAUGCGUGGUGUAGCGGUGAAAUGCAUAGAUAUCACGCAGAACCCCGAUUGCGAAGGCAGCCUGCCAAGCCAUUACUGACGCUGAUGCACGAAAGCGUGGGGAUCAAACAGGAUUAGAUACCCUGGUAGUCCACGCAGUAAACGAUGAUCACUAGCUGUUUGCGAUACACUGUAAGCGGCACAGCGAAAGCGUUAAGUGAUCCACCUGGGGAGUACGCCGGCAACGGUGAAACUCAAAGGAAUUGACGGGGGCCCGCACAAGCGGAGGGACAUGUGGUUUAAUUCGAUGAUACGCGAGGAACCUUACCCGGGUUUGAACGCAUUCGGACCGAGGUGGAAACACCUUUUCUAGCAAUAGCCGUUUGCGAGGUGCUGCAUGGUUGUCGUCAGCUCGUGCCGUGAGGUGUCGGCUUAAGUGCCAUAACGAGCGCAACCCUUGCCACUAGUUACUAACAGGUAAAGCUGAGGACUCUGGUGGGACUGCCAGCGUAAGCUGCGAGGAAGGCGGGGAUGACGUCAAAUCAGCACGGCCCUUACAUCCGGGGCGACACACGUGUUACAAUGGCGUGGACAAAGGGAAGCCACCUGGCGACAGGGAGCGAAUCCCCAAACCACGUCUCAGUUCGGAUCGGAGUCUGCAACCCGACUCCGUGAAGCUGGAUUCGCUAGUAAUCGCGCAUCAGCCAUGGCGCGGUGAAUACGUUCCCGGGCCUUGUACACACCGCCCGUCAAGCCAUGGGAGCCGGGGGUACCUGAAGUCCGUAACCGCGAGGAUCGGCCUAGGGUAAAACUGGUGACUGGGGCU